rnacentral:rRNA from 1 species
AUUGAACGCUGGCGGCAUGCUUUACACACGCAAGUCGAACGGCAGCAUGGGCUUCGGCCUGAUGGCGAGUGGCGAACGGGUGAGUAAUGCAUCGGAACGUGCCGUGUAAUGGGGGAUAACAUAGCGAAAGUUGUGCUAAUACCGCAUACGUCCUACGGGAGAGAGCAGGGGAUCUUCGGACCUUGCGUUAUACGAGCGGCCGAUGUCCGAUUAGCUAGUUGGUGUGGUAAAGGCUCACCAAGGCGACGAUCGGUAGCGGGUCUGAGAGGACGAUCCGCCACACUGGAACUGGGACACGGUCCAGACUCCUACGGGAGGCAGCAGUGGGGAAUUUUGGACAAUGGGCGAAAGCCUGAUCCAGCAAUGCCGCGUGAGUGAAGAAGGCCCUUGGGUUGUAAAGCUCUUUCGUUUGGGAAGAAGGAAGUGUGGCUAAUAUCCACGCUGACAGACGGUACCAAAAUAAGAAGCACCGGCUAACUACGUGCCAGCCGCCGCCGUAA